CAGCAGCCACGGUAAUACGAAGGGGGCUAGCGUUGUUCGGAAGUACUGGGCGUAAAGGGCGCGUAGGCGGCCAUUCAAGUUAGAUGUGAAAGCCCUGGGCUCAACCUAGGAAUUGCAUUUGAUACUGUUUGGCUUGAGCUCGGGAGAGGUGAGUGGAAUUCCCAGUGUAGAGGUGAAAUUCGUAGAUAUUGGGAAGUACACCAGUGGCGAAGGCGGCUCACUGGACCGACACUGACGCUGAGGCGCGAAAGCGUGGGGAGCAAACAGGAUUAGAUACCCCGGUAGUCCCUGUCUCUUAUAA
rnacentral:rRNA from 1 species